AAUCUGCCUGGUAGUGGGGGAUAACGUCCGGAAACGGACGCUAAUACCGCAUACGUCCUACGGGAGAAAGCAGGGGACCUUCGGGCCUUGCGCUAUCAGAUGAGCCUAGGUCGGAUUAGCUAGUUGGUGGGGUAAUGGCUCACCAAGGCGACGAUCCGUAACUGGUCUGAGAGGAUGAUCAGUCACACUGGAACUGAGACACGGUCCAGACUCCUACGGGAGGCAGCAGUGGGGAAUAUUGGACAAUGGGCGAAAGCCUGAUCCAGCCAUGCCGCGUGUGUGAAGAAGGUCUUCGGAUUGUAAAGCACUUUAAGUUGGGAGGAAGGGCAGUAAAUUAAUACUUUGCUGUUUUGACGUUACCGACAGAAUAAGCACCGGCUAACUCUGUGCCAGCAGCCGCGGUAAUACAGAGGGUGCAAGCGUUAAUCGGAAUUACUGGGCGUAAAGCGCGCGUAGGUGGUUCGUUAAGUUGGAUGUGAAAUCCCCGGGCUCAACCUGGGAACUGCAUUCAAAACUGACGAGCUAGAGUAUGGUAGAGGGUGGUGGAAUUUCCUGUGUAGCGGUGAAAUGCGUAGAUAUAGGAAGGAACACCAGUGGCGAAGGCGACCACCUGGACUGAUACUGACACUGAGGUGCGAAAGCGUGGGG
rnacentral:rRNA from 1 species